ACACACAAGUAGUUGGGCGGAGUCCGGACUCCGUCCAACUAACACACAAGAUGGAGACGGUUGGGGAGGAAAAGCGUUCACUUGUCCUUCCCUCUAGGAGCUUCCACAAGGCUGGAUAUAGGGUGAAUACUCCUCCAAAAGACCAGCAGCAAUGGAUCACAAGGUAAAGAGCAGUGAGUACAAAUUAGUGAGGGUCAGUUGUUCACUCUGUUGGAUGCUGAUGAUGAUCCACCCAUUGGACGUCAGAUAAAAAUACAGUCGACCUAAGGAACAUGAAGGAGCCUCCAUCACAACGCCAGCGAUAUUUCCAUAGUCAUGAUGAGGUACGCUAGGGGGUGUGGUCUCAGCUUGUGUGUGGGUGUGUGUGUAACUGUACAUUAUGCUGCAUGUGAAAUUGUCGUGUACUAUAAUUAUAUAAAUACGACCACUUUCCCUCAUCCCCCAUUUCUCUGUAGACACGUUGUUUCUUAUAAUCAUGGACACUGAUGGGAUAAGUUGAAGACAUUGUCAAGAAAGUAAACACAAGCCCGGCCCGUUACCAAGGAAACAUGACAACAUUGAUCAUCAUUGAAAAUUUUUAGCCUAUGCAGUCAUAAAAAUUAAUAUUGUUGUAUUUUUUAAUCUCUACUGCUAAAAAUUAAUUAUGACCAAGAGUGCAUGCGCUCUUGUUAUGAC